rnacentral:lncRNA from 1 species
UUUGCCAAAUGAUUAUAAUGGCGAUUCUGAUCCAACCAUAAAUUCAUACAUUGUGCCCCUGGCCUGAGAGGAUGGAAGUUCAACAUGUCGUUACAGUGGAUGUAGUAUGCUAAUGUUAACUAGCUGGCCUGGCUUAUCUUUCCUAUGAAAGUAAGUUAGGCGAGCAAGUAUUUUAGCCAGGUAGCCUAGGACAACAAAAACUAAAUGGCGUGUACUGUAUGACAGAGUCAGACCGUUUAGUCAACAUGAAAGAGGAGGAUGGCGUUGGCGUUUCUCUACAAGUAGACCAUUCCCCCAGUACACUCUCUCUCUCCCCCUCCCUUUCUGUUUGUGUGUGAUUGUGUGGUUGUAGACAGGUGUGCUGGAGUCAGAGCAGAUCCCUACCAGCUGCAACUCGUUCCAUUAUCAAGACCUCUACAAAUUCUCAGUUCUGCCACUUCCACUCUGCUAGAUCGUAAUCUCUGCUCAUUUUGCCGCUCUGACUCUGGCUCCUGUCUCCUGUUCCACAUCUCACCACCCUGCUACCCUGUUCUGGAUUCACCACACCACCACUCCCUUGGAUUCCCCUCCGGACCUGUUUACCCUCAAUCAACAUGACCAAGCUCUUAAAACCCUUCUGGAGACUAUCAAUGAGUUUUCACAGAACCUGUCUGUCCUACAGAGUCAAACCUUCGCCCAAAGCUCACAACCUGUCCCUCCGCUCCGCCCCGGGAGCCGAUUGUUCCUACUCCAGAGCGCUACGAUGGUAAUCUCGGAACCUGCAGAGCCUUUUUGGUACAAUGUUUACUAGUAUUUGAGCAACAGUUCUACUCUUAUGCUCGUGAAAGAGCCAAGAUUUCAAUUUUUUUAAAUUUGUUGCCUCUGUGGAGCAGCGCUUUCCUGGGCCCUGCUGUGUGGGAGAGACAGUCACCCAUUUGCUUCUCCUAUAGUAGAUUCAUGGAGGAGAUGAGAAAGGUUUUUGACCACAUGGUUUGUGGAAAGGACGCUGCAAAACGACUCCUGUCCCUCCAUCAAGGCUCCCAGAGUGUUGCUGAAAUGGCAUGUGAGUUCAGCACCCUCGCCGCAGAGAGCGGCUGGGAUGAGGAGGCUCUUCAGGGAGCAUUCCGGAACUCACUGAGACUCUAAAGGACGAGUUGGUGUCCAGGGAGGAGACUGAUCUUGAUGAACUCAUUUCUCUCACUAUCUGCAUUGACAACCGUCUCCGGGAGCGGCGGAGGGAGAGGGUAGUUAAGGUUGCAAGUUCCUUAACAUCUGCUUCAGUGCCUUGUUAUUUUCCUUCGACUGUAUCCCAACCCCAGGCAUGUUCUGAACCUGAACCCAUGCAGCUCGGCCGGACCCAUCUAUCUCCGGAGGAGAGGCAGCGGCGUGUCGAUACUAGGAGCUGUCUAUACUGUGGCCAGGUUGGUCACCUGGUUUCCACUUGUUCCCUGCGUCCAGUAAGAAGAGGCUCGGGCGAUAUGGGGAAAAUACUAUUGGGUCAAAUCGCCUGCCCAUUUUCCCCCAGACCCAUGUUUGAGGCCAACCUUGUGUGGCAGCCAGGCUUUUCCUCUAGCUGCUCUUAUAGAUUCAGGUGCCGACGAGAGCUUUUUGGACCGAGGUGUUGUCAACCAGUUGGGCCUGGACACUGUUCCACUUAAUUCACCUCUCGAUGCCUACGCUCUCAAUGGUAAACUUCUCUCCCGUGUCUGUGAGAAAACCGUUCCAGUCAUCCAGCGUCUCUCUGGUAAUCACCAAGAAAAAAAUCAGUUUCCACAUAAUCGACAGUCCCUAUUCUCCUCUGGUUCUGGGUCAUCCAUGGUUAAAACUACACAACCCACAGAUUGACUGGACCACCGGGAGGGUUACUACUUGGAGUACAUUUUGUCAUUCCAAUUGUCUACAUUCUGUCCUUCCACCUGCCUUGUCUGUACCCCAGUCCAUUCUAGAACCCCCAGACCUGUCUUCUGUUCCUCCAGAGUAUCACAGUUUAGCUUCUGUAUUCAGUAAGCACCACACCCCGUCUCUGCCGCCUCAUCGCUCAUACGUCUGUGAUAUUGACCUCAAGCCUGGAGCUCCCCUCCCCAGUAGCAGGUUGUAUAACCUUUCUCGCCCCAGAUCUAAGAAUACCAAGCCUGACACCUUCUCCCGUCAGUUCACCGCAGACAACACAGGUUCCGAGCCAGAAACCAUUAUGGCAUCCUCCUGCAUCGUUGCUGCUGUCUUCUGGGAGAUUGAGUCCUGUGUUCGUCAGGCUCAGCUGAACCAGUCUGAUCCAGGAAACGGUUCUUGUAAGGCUCUGUUUGUGCCAGAUUCAGUUUGCUCUGAAAUUCUUUAGUUGGCCCAUGCUACUCACCUUACCUGUCACCCUGGUAUGAACCGGACUGUCGCCUUCCUGCGGUAGCGAUUUUGGUGGCCCACCAUGGUGAGAGACGCUCGGGAAUUCAUCUCAGCCUGCUCGAUCUGUGCCCGGAACAAAACUUCCAUCAAACCUACGUCCAGUCGGCUUCGCCCUCUUCCCAUACCCAGUCGCCCCUGGUCACACAUAGCUCAGGACUUCAUCACUGGCCUUCCUCCAUCUAAUGGUAACUCAGUCCAGGACCACAGGUGCCGUUGUCAUUGCACCUGGAGGAGGGACCGGUCUGUUCUUCGUGCCUCCGCCAGGACCCAAUCCCAAGCUAACCGUUGCCGUGCUCCAGUCUUUUUAAAAUAUUUGAUUUUACCUUUAUUUAACUAGGCAAGUCAGUUAAGAACAAAUUCUUAUUUUCAAUGACGGCCUAGGAACAGUGGGUUAACUGCCUUGUUCAGGGGCAGAAUGGCAGAUUUGACCACUAGGGGGUGUCAAAAGGAUUUUCAUACCUCACACCCUGACAAAGCCGGGUUGUGCACCAGGUGGCGCCCGUGGGGGGCGGGGGGUGUAUUGUCACAUCUGCUCCUGCCACACCCCCUAGUGGUCAUUCGGUGUCUGCUUGACCUGCAGCCAUUCCCCCAGUACUCUCUCUCUCUCUCUCUCUCUCUCUCUCUCUCUCUCUCUCUCUCUCUCUCUCUCUCUCCACUGCUUUUGAGGGGCAUCUGUCCAUUUAGAAGUUUUGACCAAUGGGUGUACUGCUAGUUCUGCUCCCCAUGGGACCCCAUAGGCUCACGUGGAUAGGCGGAGUUGAAGGUAAAGACAAAAUGAUGAACCUGGACAUUAAAACACUGGCGGAUUUCCUGGAAACUGAGGAGUCCAUUCAAAUUGUAUAUGUCUUUGAAAGUAUACAUAUCCUUCUUAGACCAAGAAUCUGAUAUAAAUGGUUUCUUACACGAUAAUAAUUAUUUAUUACGCCAUAUUGGAGAUUAUGAAUGCAAUUUAAGAUUAGAUCUCAUAUGCUUCUCUGUAGCUUUCCACACAUUUACUGAGUGUGCUAUAAUGGGUCCAAACAAUAAUGCACAUUUUCUAGGAGUCAAUCCAGAAAAUAAUACAUCUUGUAAUCUAAUUGGGGAAACUAUUGACUCUUCUAUAGCACGCCAAGGAACAGAAGCCUCUGGGUUUAUCCAGGUCUUCAGUAAAUUCAUUUGGAAUGAUAGGUGAUACAUUUUGGGGAUUUUGAACUGCAAGUCCACCUGAUGCUUUUGUUCUCUGUAGUGUUGCAUAUUUAAUCUGUGGUCUCUUUCUCCCCCAAAUGAACUUAUUCAUGACAGAGUAAAGUUUAGACCAAUGGUCUACAGGAGGAGGCAGUGGUAACAUGGAACUCAUAAAAUUGAUAUGAGGAAGGACAUUCAUUUUGAUAAUUGAGAUUCUAGCAUGCAAAUAAGUGGCCAUAUCAGACCAUCUUUUUAUGUAUUUUUCUAAGUAGUUCUUCCUGCCAGUAGUGUGAAUAGAUGGGUAUAUGGUAAUGCCUAAGUAGGUGAUUUGUUUCUUCACUGGGAUCAUGGGUGAUAGUUGCAUGCUUCCCAUAGCUGAGUUAAGAGAUAGUAGAGCUGAUUUAUACCAGUUGCUCUGAAAAUAGACAUUAUUGGCUGGAGGGAUUUCUGAGCGUUUGCGACGUAGAGCAGUAUGUCAUCCCAUGUGGCUCAGUUGGUAGAGCAUGGUGUUUGCAACACCAGGGUUGUGGGUUCGAUUCCCACGGGGGACCAGUACGGAGAAAAAAAUGUAUGAAAUGUAUGCAUUCACUACUGUAAGUCGCUCUGGAUAAGAGCGUCUGCUAAAUGACUAAAAUGUAAAUGUUUGUUUGAUUUUGAUAUGUGAGGAAGCCGAAUUCUGACGUAUGCUUUGUGCCAGCGGUUCAAGAGGGAGCAAAUAGCAUAGUGGAGGCGGGACAGCCUUGUUUACGUCGUCGUUGUAUGAUAAAUGGAUUAGAAUGGUUAGUGCCAGUAGAUAUAAUAGAAGAAUGAUUCACAUACAUGGUGCGAAUAAUUUGUCUAAAUCUGGUCCCAAAACCAAAAUGUUCAAGAACAAGCCAUAAAUAUUGCCACUCUAAGCAGUCAAAGGCUUUCUCUGCAUCUAAUGAUAACACAGCAGACGGGGUAUCCAGAAAGGAAGCCUCAGCAACCACAUGAAACAGGCAGCACAUGUUAUCGGCUGCCUGACGAUCCUUAAUAAACCCUGCUUGUUCAGGAUGUGUAGAGCUUGUUAAUAACUAUCUCUUGGUGCAUGGCUAGAACUUUGGCAUACAUCUUCAUUUAUGUUCCGAUUAAACUGAUUGGCCGAAAAUUAGCACAAUUUGUGAGGUCUUUUCCUUUCUUAGGUAUAUAAUAGCUGUAUUGAUGUUUCUGUGGAGCUGUCCUUUUUCAAUAGCAAUGUUAAGAGAUUCAAGAAUAACUGGUCCUAGCUCAUCCCAAAUUUUGAGAAUGAGUUCAGGAGGUAUUCCAUCAAUACCAGGCGAUUUUUUUUUUUUGUUGAUUUUUUAUUUUAUUUUUUUUAUAUAUUUUUUUAAUUAUUAUUAUUAUUUUUUUUAAAUCUCUUAUUUAAAAGAGCAGCUUUCAGUUCAGAUAAAGUGACAGGUUCUUCUAAUAAAAUUAUUUAUUCUUGAGAAUGUUUGGGCAACGUAAGGUUUUCCAGGAACUGCCGACAAGCAGUGGUAUCAAAGCUAUGUGAUGAACUGUAUAAAUCUGAAUAAUAUGCUCUAAAAGUUGCAUUUAUUUCUGUAGGAUCCAGAUUUCAAUCCCCUAGUAGAUCUGAUCAACUGUAUUAAUCUUGUUUAAGCUGAAGUGACAGUAAGUGGCUAGGACUACUCCCUUAAAUAGUGUUUUUGUCACACCCUUUGCAUAAUGAAUUCUGCUCUACGUCGCAACAGGUCAUUAAGUUACUGUGUAAUUGUUCUUAGCUCAAUUUCUCUCUCUGUUGAAUAGUUAUUUUUAAGAGAGUCUUCCUGCAUUUUACAAUGAUUUUCGAAUCACAGAUUUUCUGUAAAUUAGAGGAAAAAUGUGUAGUGUUUCCUCUUAUGAAACCUUUAACAGCUAACCAUACCAUAGUUGAGUCCUCCUUAUUUCUUAAAAUUAUUUUAAAUUGAAUCUAAACUGAAAGAUGAAGUCAGAG